rnacentral:lncRNA from 1 species
GAGCAAGGGCAGAAAUAAUCCUUCUCCAAAGGAUCACAGAAAGGAAGCCCUUUCGCCCUAGAAAUGUACCUGCUUGAGAAGCUCUGCAGUGUGUUGAGGAAAGAAGCAAUGAUACCAUGUGAGGGAAGUACAAUAGACUAGAAGUUGUGUCCCCCACUCCAAAUUUAUAUGAAAUCUUCAUCCCCAAGGUGAUGGUAUCAGGAGGUGGUGCCUUUGGGAGAUGAUUAGGUCAAGAGGUCAGAGCUCUCUUGAGUGGGAUUAGUGCCCUUAUAAAAGAGGCCUGAAGGCCGGGCGUGGUGGCUCAUGCCUGUAAUCUCAGCACUCUGGGAGGCCAAGGCAGACGGAUCAUCUGAGGUCGGGAGUUCGAGACCAGCCUGGCCAACAUGGUGAAAACCCAUCUCUACUAAAAAUACAAAAAUUAGCUGGGCGUGGUGUCAUGCGCCUGUAAUCCCAGCUACUCAGGAGGCUGACGCAGGAGAAUCGCUUCAAUCCCGUAGGCAGAGGUUUCACUGAGCCUAGAUCGAUCGCGCCACUGCACUCCAACCUGGGUGACAGAGUGAUACUCCGUCUCAAAAAACUAAACUAAAAUAAAUAAAUAAAAAAAAGAGGACUGAGGGAGAUCCCCUCGCCCCUUCCACCAUGUAAGGACACAGCUGGAAGGCACCAUUCUAUGAACCAGGUAACAGAUCCUCACCAGACAUCAAAACUGCUGGUACCUGAAUCUUGAACUUCAGCCUCCAGAACUGUGA